UACGUAGGGGGCGAGCGUUGUCCGGAUUUACUGGGCGUAAAGCGCGUGUAGGCGGCUGCUUAAGUCGGGUGUGAAAGCCCGGGGCUCAACCCCGGGAUGCCGCCCGAGACUGGGCGGCUUGAGGUCGGAAGAGGGGAGUGGAAUUCCCGGUGUAGCGGUGAAAUGCGCAGAUAUCAGGAGGAACACCGGUGGCGAAGGCGCCUAUCUGGCCCGAUACUGACGCUGAGGCGCGAAAGCUAGGGGAGCAAACGGG
rnacentral:rRNA from 1 species